UACGUAGGGGGCAAGCGUUGUCCGGAUUUAUUGGGCGUAAAGAGCGUGUAGGCGGUUUGGUAGGUCCGUUGUGAAAACUCGAGGCUCAACCUCGAGACGCCGAUGGAAACCAUCAGACUAGAGUCCGGAAGAGGAGAGUGGAAUUCCUGGUGUAGCGGUGAAAUGCGUUGAUAUCCUAAGGAACACCGGUGGCGAAAGCGGCUCACUGGGUCUCUUCUGACGCUGAGGCACGAAAGCUAGGGUAGCGAACGGG
rnacentral:rRNA from 1 species